GACUUCUGUGAAGAUCUGUGCAUGUGAUUGCUGGUGCAUCCGCUUGCAUGGUGUGCUGUGCUAUUUUCCAACAGUUCUUUUCAGAGCUAUGUAGUUUCUGUUUCACGAACACGUCAAUGUAUCUUGGUAACGGUAAUGGUUAUGAACGGUGAAGGUAUUUUUGAGGUAAAGGUAUCGGUAAGGUUAAAUGGUAAAGGUAUCGGUAUGGUUAAAUGGUAAAGGUAUCAGGUAAGUUAUCUUGAAGCCUCAUUGA
rnacentral:misc_RNA from 1 species